GGCUAUACUGUAAACCCCCCCCCCGUCCCCCCUGAAAAAAAAAAUGGGGCCCUCCCCCAGCCCCCUCCUCCAGUUUUGACGUCUAUGGUAAGAUCACUUGCUUAAAAUGAUUGGAGAAUCACAAUUAUAAGCAGAUGUAUUUCUCUUUAAUUUCUUGCACAAUGUACUAGAACAUAUGAUAGACAACAUUUUUUGAUUUUUUACCAACUUUUUAAAAAAAUUGUUUACUGUCCUGUCCGUGACAGCUGUUUUACAGUAUUAUACAUGAACCUCUAUGCAAUAUUCACUGUUCCUUUUCUAUCCUCUGUGACCUUGAACUUUAUGAAGUAGAUGAACAAAUCCUGAGAAUUGAACGUCUUCUGCAAGUGCUGAAUGUUUUCAUACAUCAUUUUUUUCUGUGAUCAAUAAUAAAAUUAGAAAAAAUCG
rnacentral:sRNA from 1 species